rnacentral:sRNA from 1 species
GAUACAAGGGUGUAAAGGUUAACCGCUGUUCAUGCUUGCAUGAUAAAGCGGUUGAAUUUUAUACCCGUAAAACAUGAGGAAGUAGCGAUUUGCGAAGCAAAUCAGCGGAUUCCGAAUGUUUUUAGAAUUGCGGGAGCAGCUUGCUGCGAAGCAAUUCAGGGUAU